rnacentral:rRNA from 1 species
GGUGCUGCAUGGUUGUCGUCAGCUCGUGCCGUGAGGUGUCGGGUUAAGUCCCAUAACGAGCGCAACCCUUAUCGUUAGUUGCCAUCUGGUAAUGCAGGGGACUCUAGCGAAACUGCCACCGUAAGGUGAGAGGAAGGUGGGGAUGACGUCAAAUCAGCACGGCCCUUAUGUCCAGGGCUACACACGUGUUACAAUGGUCGGUACAGAGGGCAGCUACCUGGUGACAGGAUGCUAAUCUCGAAAACCGGUCUCAGUUCGGAUCGAAGUCUGCAACUCGACUUCGUGAAGCUGGAUUCGCUAGUAAUCGCGCAUCAGCUAUGGCGCGGUGAAUACGUUCCCGGGCCUU